GACGAACGCUGGCGGCGUGCUUAACACAUGCAAGUCGAACGGAAAGGCCCUGCUUUUGUGGGGUGCUCGAGUGGCGAACGGGUGAGUAACACGUGAGUAACCUGCCCUUGACUUUGGGAUAACUUCAGGAAACUGGGGCUAAUACCCGAUAGGAGCUCCUGCUGCAUGGUGGGGGUUGGAAAGUUUCGGCGGUUGGGGAUGUACUCGCGGCUUAUCAGCUUGUUGGUGGGGUAGUGGCUUACCAAGGCUUUGACGGGUAGCCGGCCUGAGAGGGUGAACGGCCACAUUGGGACUGAGAUACGGCCCAGACUCCUACGGGAGGCAGCAGUGGGGAAUAUUGCACAAUGGGCGGAAGCCUGAUGCAGCAACGCCGCGUGCGGGAUGACGGCCUUCGGGUUGUAAACCGCUUUCGCCUGUGACGAAGCGCGAGUGACGGUAAUGGGUAAAGAAGCACCGGCUAACUACGUG
rnacentral:rRNA from 1 species